AGGCGUGGAACUUGCGGCUUAAUUUGACUCAACACUGGAAAUCUCACCAGGCCCGGACACCGGAAGGAUUGACAGAUUGAGAGCUCUUUCUCGAUUCGGUGGGUGGUGGUGCAUGGCCGUUCUUAGUUGGUGGAGUGAUUUGUCUGGUUAAUUCCGAUAACGAACGAGACUCCGUCCUGCUAACUAGUCGUGGCGUCACUCUUGCGCUGCGAAUUCUUCUUAGAGGGACUGGCGGCAUCUAGCCGCACGAGAUGGAGCAAUAACAGGUCUGUGAUGCCCUUAGAUGUUCUGGGCUGCACGCGUGUUACACUGAAGGGAUCAGCGUGUCCUCCCUGACCGAGAGGUCCGGGUAACCCGCUGAACCCCCUUCGUGGUAGGGAUCGGAGCUUGCAAUUAUUCUCCGUGAACCAGGAAUGCCCAGUAAGCGCAAGUCAUAAGCUUGCGUUGAUUACGUCCCUGCCGUUUGUACACACCGCCCGUCGCUACUACCGAUUGAACGU
rnacentral:rRNA from 1 species